GAUGAACGCUGGCGGCGUGCCUAACACAUGCAAGUCGAACGAGGAAUAAUAACGGAAGUUUUCGGAUGGAAGUUAUUGUUCCGAGUGGCGGACGGGUGAGUAACGCGUGGAUAACCUGCCUCAUACAGGGGGACAACAGUUAGAAAUGACUGCUAAUACCGCAUAAGCGCACAGUAUCGCAUGAUACAGUGUGAAAAACUCCGGUGGUAUGAGAUGGAUCCGCGUCUGAUUAGCUAGUUGGUAGGGUAACGGCCUACCAAGGCGACGAUCAGUAGCCGACCUGAGAGGGUGACCGGCCACAUUGGGACUGAGACACGGCCCAAACUCCUACGGGAGGCAGCAGUGGGGAAUAUUGCACAAUGGGCGAAAGCCUGAUGCAGCGACGCCGCGUGAGUGAAGAAGUAUCUCGGUAUGUAAAGCUCUAUCAGCAGGGAAGAAAAUGACGGUACCUGACUAAGAAGCCCCGGCUAACUACGUGCCAGCCGCCGCCGUAACAC
rnacentral:rRNA from 1 species